UACGGGGGGGGCAAGCGUUGUUCGGAAUUACUGGGCGUAAAGGGCUCGUAGGUGGCCAACUAAGUCAGACGUGAAAUCCCCAGGCUCAACUUGGGAACUGCGUCUGAUACUGGAUGGCUUGAAUUCGGGAGAGGGAUGCAGAAUUCCAGGUGUAGCGGUGAAAUGCGUAGAUAUCGAGAGGAACACCGGUGGCGAAGGCGGCCUUCUGGACAGUGACUGACGCUGAGACGCGAAAGCGUGGGGAGCAAACAGG
rnacentral:rRNA from 1 species